GAUCCUGGCUCAGGAUGAACGCUGGCGGCGUGCCUAAUACAUGCAAGUCGAACGCGAGCACUUGUGCUCGAGUGGCGAACGGGUGAGUAAUACAUAAGUAACCUGCCCUAGACAGGGGGAUAACUAUUGGAAACGAUAGCUAAGACCGCAUAGGUACGGACACUGCAUGGCGACCGUAUUAAAAGUGCCUCAAAGCACUGGUAGAGGAUGGACUUAUGGCGCAUUAGCUGGUUGCGGGG
rnacentral:rRNA from 1 species